rnacentral:ncRNA from 1 species
UCUGGACCCCUGUGGUGGCUAUGUCGGGCGCCUAUCCCUCGACCAACA